CCCUAUUUUCGCUCUUCGCAUCCUCCCUAUUCACCCAUGCCACUCAGCUCUCUCUCUCUCUCAACAGCUGCUUCCUCCAUCUCUCUCAUUUCUACGUUUGGUUACGUUUGGUGUUGAUCACUGCUACCGUUGCUUCUAGGGUUCUGGUUGCCGACGAGUCCCAUCUCCCAAGCUCGACAUCCAUCGGAGCUCCCUCGCCUGAAUAGUGUUGAACGACGGCGCUGCCAGAGGUUGCCCCUCAUCAUGCUAGUAAGCCUCGUUCUCUCUGUAUUCCUCUGCCCCGAGAUUGAUAUUUUUUCAAGGAAUACCCAGUGCGCCGCCACCUCCUUUCACAGGUUCCAUUGCCAACGCCAGUGAUUCUCUAUUGGUUGUAUCGAUUCUCAUCUCGUGCCUCUCUCUUGCUUGUUUUUCUCUCUGUCACACGUUGCUCUCUCUUUAACCCCUUGGAUCUUGUUUUCCAUAGUCGCACUCUCUUUCUCUAAAUUUAGGUCAUGACCAAUGGAUACCAUCGGAGUGAACCUUCCGCCACCAAGAGUAGUAAUUUUGUUCGAGGCAGCGUUAUUUCACUCACGAAACCCGAAUGUUCACCACUCUGGGACUAGGUAAGGCCAACUUGCGCGUACCUUGACUAAUCCCACGGGGUCCUGAAGUUAAUGGUCAGGUAAACCUCCAGUGGCCUAAGGGGACUCUCGAACUGGUGACCAUUGGGGAGCAAACCCAAGACCUGACCAAUUGAGCUAUCCCUCAGGGUUUCAACUAUGUAAAAGGAGUGAAUAUGAAAUUUGAAUCUUGUAUACGAUUAUGUGAUCUGUCUCUAUUCAGCACAUUGUUUUGAUAUGAAAUGUUUUGAAAGCCUCUUACAUGACAUACUAUUUCUACUUCCAUCUCAACCUUACCACGCGUGUAAACUGUGACCUCAGUUAUUAUAUUUGGUACCAACAUCUCUGUUUCUGAUGCAA